CCCCUACGGGAGGCAGCAGUGGGGAAUAUUGCACAAUGGGGGAAACCCUGAUGCAGCGACGCCGCGUGAGUGAAGAAGUACUUCGGUAUGUAAAGCUCUAUCAGCAGGGAAGAAAAUGACGGUACCUGAGUAAGAAGCCCCGGCUAACUACGUGCCAGCAGCCGCGGUAAUGGGG
rnacentral:rRNA from 1 species